UGGAGCUACGUCAAGAGAGUGAGAGGAAGGGGAAGCCGGAAGGGGCGCGAGUGAAGCUAAGGGGGGAAAAGACAGGUCCCGAGGGGGCGUGGGCUGUGCGUGCGCCCGCGUCUCCCCACUGCUCUCCCUUCAGUCUCGCCGCCCUCUCUUGCGGCCAGGUGACAGAGCCCGGUGCGGGGCGCUCUGCCUGCGGCGCGAGAAGAACGCGCCCUGCCCUCGCGCGGUGCACCCGCUGCCCCUCCCCCUCAUCCCGUCCGUCCCGUCGCUUCUCGUUCCGUCUUCUCCCCUCGGGUGCCGCCGGCGUGGUGCUUGUGCGAGUCGGCGGCGGCAGGGACAUUUUCUGCCUCCCCAGCCCCUGUCCCGGCUGCCCUCCCCCCCCCGUCGCGGGGCCGGCCGCUACUCCGGCCCCAGGAUGCAGAAUGUGAUUAACACGGUGAAGGGAAAGGCACUGGAAGUGGCUGAAUACCUGACCCCAGUCCUCAAGGAAUCAAAAUUUAAGGAAACGGGUGUUAUCACCCCAGAAGAGUUUGUGGCAGCUGGAGAUCACUUAGUCCAUCACUGUCCAACAUGGCAAUGGUAAGCAAUCUUGAGUGAAGAAU